AGUGAACGCUGGCGGUAGGCCUAACACAUGCAAGUCGAACGGCAGCACAGUAAGAUCUUGCUCUUACGGGUGGCGAGUGGCGGACGGGUGAGGAAUACAUCGGAAUCUACUUUUUCGUGGGGGAUAACGUAGGGAAACUUACGCUAAUACCGCAUACGACCUACGGGUGAAAGCAGGGGAUCUUCGGACCUUGCGCGAUUGAAUGAGCCGAUGUCGGAUUAGCUAGUUGGCGGGGUAAAGGCCCACCAAGGCGACGAUCCGUAGCUGGUCUGAGAGGAUGAUCAGCCACACUGGAACUGAGACACGGUCCAGACUCCUACGGGAGGCAGCAGUGGGGAAUAUUGGACAAUGGGCGAAAGCCUGAUCCAGCCAUACCGCGUGGGUGAAGAAGGCCUUCGGGUUGUAAAGCCCUUUUGUUGGGAAAGAAAAGCAGCGGGUUAAUACCCCGCUGUUCUGACGGUACCCAAAGAAUAAGCACCGGCUAACUUCGUG
rnacentral:rRNA from 1 species